GAAAGGGUGGACAGCCUGAAUGUCAAGGAGCUGCAGGCGGCAUGCCGGGCGCGGGGCAUGCUGACCCUAGGCGUCACCGAGGACCAGUUGCAGAGGCAGCUGAAGCAGUGGUUGGAUCUGCACCAGCACCAGGAGAUGCCCACACUGCUGCUUGUGCGGUCUCAGGCCAUGAAUCUCCCAGACACUCUCACCUGCUGACCAGCUCAAGUCUACCUCCAGACCUUCCCGGAGAUUGUGGCCAAGGAGCCCCAGGUGAAAGCAUUCGGGUUGCAAGGCGAGCAGGUGUACAAAGCCAAGCUAGAGGCCACGCUGCAGGAGGAGGCCACCAUGUGGCAGAAACACCACGAGAAGGAGCUGCAGUGGGCUGCAGAGGUGUAAGCAGCGAAGGGCGCUGAGCUAGAAAGUGUGGGUGCCACCACUCCCGAUAAGUCUGUGGCCAAGCUGCAGCCGGAGGUGCCUGAUGUGAUCUUGCCCUCUGAGGCCCUGAAGGACACUGCCCCUGUGCUGGAGGGCUUGAAGGAAGAGGAAAUAACUAAGGAGGAAAUCGAUGUGCUGAGCAAUGCGUGCUCCAAGUUGAAGGAGCAGAAGAAGUCGCUGACCAAGGAGGAGGAGGAGCUGGUGCUGCUGACGGAGGACAUCCAGGACCACAGCAAGAUCAAGAAGGAGCUUUCCAAGAUGGGUGAGGACAAGCUCGAGGAGGCAUCGAAAAGCUAUAAGACGCUGACACAGUGGGUGCAGCAGAUGAUCAGGCAGAUCGAUGGGCUCAUCGCCCAGCUGGAGGCGGACCAGCAGGCUGGCAGGCUGGGCGCAGCUGAGACCACGCCCGUGGGGAAGAAUGUCAUCAGUGUCAGAGCUCAUCAGUGCCAUGAAACAAAUCAAGCACAUCCGGAAAACAAGCUGGUCAGCUUGGCCUCUCUAAAUGGACUCAAGCCCUGCAGGACUUUGAACCAACAAUCUUUGUUUGCAUCCCAUUUCCAUCUUUCAGAUGUGACAAAUCCAUCUCUGCCAAUCCUGGUGGUCACCUCCGCCCCAUCGUCCUGCUUUCCUGCACACUGUCUCUGUCCCUCACUGCAUGGUCUCAGAUGGGACACCCAGCCCUGUCUUCAACAAAGGCACAUGAAUGCGGCAACUCCUCAAUGAAAGGCGUCCAUCCAGGACUGGAGCAGCAGUCCAGUAAGUGGAAAGCCUGUACAGCUGGAUCCAACCUGAGCACUGCCUACAGGCAGGAGGAAGAGACGGUGCUGGAGAACUUCCUCCAAAGCAAAACACAGCUUCCCACUCAGCAUCAGGUGCCAUGGCCUCUAAACAUCCUCAGCUCAUGCCUCCGGGUGCCCCUCGCCCCCCAUCGACUCUAUCUUUGCACAUCCCUGACUCUUUCCUUAUAUUCUUUCUCCCUUUUUCUGUUAGUUUUCCCUCCCUCUCUGGAAUGACAACAGUUUUAAAAAUCUCAUUUUCUUCUGCAGAAUGGUUUUGAUCAUUCUUUCCUUCCUCUGUUCCCUGAGAUCCUGCCAAACGGUGACUACCUUCCAGGCUUCCAAGUUUGGGCACUGAAAGUCCCACAUCCCAGGAAAGCGCACAGUCCCAAGCAAACCGG
ensembl:lncRNA